AACAACUGACGCUGAUGGACGAAAGCGUGGGGAGCGAACAGGAUUAGAUACCCUGGUANNCCACNNNNUAAACGAUGCUAACUNGUUUUUGGAAUGUAAGUUUCAGAGACUAAGCGAAAGUGAUAAGUUAGCCACCUGGGGAGUACGAACGCAAGUUUGAAACUCAAAGGAAUUGACGGGGGCCCGCACAAGCGGUGGAUUAUGUGGUUUAAUUCGAUGAUACGCGAGGAACCUUACCAAGGCUUAAAUGGGAAAUGACAGGUUUAGAAAUAGACUUUUCUUCGGACAUUUUUCAAGGUGCUGCAUGGUUGUCGUCAGCUCGUGCCGUGAGGUGUUAGGUUAAGUCCUGCAACGAGCGCAACCCCUGUCACUAGUUGCCAUCAUUAAGUUGGGGACUCUAGUGAGACUGCCUACGCAAGUAGAGAGGAAGGUGGGGAUGACGUCAAAUCAUCACGGCCCUUACGCCUUGGGCCACACACGUAAUACAAUGGCCGGUACAGAGGGCAGCUACACUGCGAAGUGAUGCAAAUCUCGAAAGCCGGUCUCAGUUCGGAUUGGAGUCUGCAACUCGACUCUAUGAAGCUGGAAUCGCUAGUAAUCGCGCAUCAGCCAUGGCGCGGUGAAUACGUUCCCGGGCCUUGUACACACCGCCCGUCAAGCCAUGGAAGUCUGGGGUACCUGAAGUCGGUGACCGUAACAGGAGCUGCCUAGGGUAAAACAGGUAACUAGGGCU
rnacentral:rRNA from 1 species